rnacentral:tRNA from 3 species
GGGUAUGUUGCUUUAAUAGUCUUAACUUUGCAAAAGUUAAUGUGAGAUCUUUUUAAUCUCCAUGCCUU